rnacentral:rRNA from 1 species
ACUCAAAUGAAUUGACGGGAGAGCGCACAACCAGUGGAGCAUGUGGUUCAAUUCGAGACGAACCGAAGAACCUUACCCGGGUUUGACAUGUUAUCGUUUAGUCAACCAGAAACGGAUGAUGAUCUUUAAGAAAUUAAAGAUGAUAACACAGGUGUUGCAUGGCUGUCGUCAGCUCGUGCCGUGGGGUGUUCCCUUCAGUGGGGUAACGAGCGCAACCCCUGCUAUGUGUUGAAUAUUCACAUAGGACUUUCAAAAUUUAUUUUUGAAGGAAGUGGGGACGACGUCAAGUCAGCAUGGCCCUUAUGUCCGGGGCUACACACAUGCUACAAUGGAGCCGACAAUGGGUUGCCAAGCCGUAAGGCGGAGCUAAUCCCAUCAAACGGCUUCUCAGUGGGGAUUGAGGGCUGCAACUUGCCCUCAUGAACGCGGAAUUGGUAGUAAUCGCAGAUCAGCUAUGCUGCGGUGAAUACGUUCUCGCUCUUUGUACACACCGCCCGU